rnacentral:lncRNA from 1 species
CCCUGGGGAAGAUGGUGCCCGUGGACGAGUUCCUGCCCCUCAUGUUCGACAGACACCCCAGCCCCGAGUACUCCCGCUACUUUUCCCGGCGGGAUCUGGAGGCGUUUUCGGCGGAGCCGCUGCUGCUGUUCCCCACUCACUACACGGGGGAGCCCGGCUACGUCAGCGACACCGAGACGGCCCCGGCGCCGCCGCGCGACGAGCUCUGACCCCAAUAAAACUCACACUUGGAUUUUUAAACGGCUUUUUGCUGGUUUUAUUUUCGGGAUUUUUUUUGGGAUUUUUGGGGAUUUUUUAUGGGGUUUUUUGGGAUUUUUUUUGGAUUUUUUGGGGAUUUUUUUAUGGGUUAUUUUGGGGUUUUUUGGGGAUUUUUUUCUUGGGUUUUUGGGGAUUUUUUCUGGGUUUUAUUGGGAUUUUUUCCAGGGUUUUUUGGGAUUUUUUCUGGGUUUUAUUGGGAUUUUUUCUGGCUUUUAUUGGGAUUUUUUCUGGGUUUUAUUGGGAUUUUUUCUGGGUUUUUUGGGAUUUCUUUUUUGAUUUUUUGGGGGAUUUUUUCUUGGGUUUUUUAGGAUUUUUUUCUGGGUUUUUUGGGAUUUUUUCUGGGUUAUUUUGGGAUUUUUUCUGGCUUUUAUUGGGAUUUUUUCCAGGGUUUUUUGGGGGAUUUUUUUGGGAUCUUUUGGGUAAAUUUUUGGGGUUAUUUUGGGGAUUUUCUUUGGAUAUUUUGGGAAUAUUUUGGGGAUAAUUUGGGAUAUUUUGGGGAUAUUUUGGGACAUUUUGGGGCUCAGAGCUCGUCGUGCUCCUCGUGCCCAGGUGUGUCGGGCUCCCUGCAG